GGAAAAGAAACCCACCAGCGAUUGCCCUAGUAACGGCGAGUGAAGCGGCCACAGCUCAAAUUGAAAUCUGGCCCUCGUGGUCCGAGUUGUAAUUUGUAGAGGAUGCUUUGGGUGCGGCGCCUUCCAAGUUCCCUAGAACGGGACGCCUUAGAGGGUGAGAGCCCCGUACGGUUGGACGCCUAGCCUAUGUAUAGCUCCUUCGACGAGUCGAGUAGUUUGGGAAUGCUGCUCUAAAUGGGAGGUAAAUUUCUUCUAAAGCUAAAUACCGGCCAGAGACCGAUAGCGCACAAGUAGAGUGAUCGAAAGAUGAAAAGUACUUUGAAAAGAGGGUUAAAUAGCACGUGAAAUUGUUGAAAGGGAAGCGUUUGCGACCAGACCUUUUCCAGGCGGAUCAUCCGGCGUUCUCGCCGGUGCACUUCGCCUGGUUUAGGCCAGCAUCGGUUUUCCCAGGGGGAUAAAGGCGGCGGGAACGUGGCUCUUUCGGGAGUGUUAUAGCCCGCCGCGUAAUACCCUUGGGGGGACCGAGGACCGCGCUUCGGCAAGGAUGCUGGCGUAAUGGUCGUCAACGACCCGUCUUGAAACACGGACCAAGGAGUCGAACAUUUGUGCGAGUGUUUGGGUGUCAAACCCUCACGCGUAAUGAAAGUGAACGGAGGUGAGAGCCCCUCGCGGGUGCAUCAUCGACCGAUCCUGAUGUCUUCGGAUGGAUUUGAGUAAGAGCAUAACUGUUCGGACCCGAAAGAUGGUGAACUAUGCGUGGAUAGGGUGAAGCCAGAGGAAACUCUGGUGGAGGCUCGCAGCGGUUCUGACGUGCAAAUCGAUCGUCAAAUCUGCGCAUGGGG
rnacentral:rRNA from 1 species